AGCUAGUUGGUAGGGUAAAGGCCUACCAAGGCGACGAUCUGUAGCGGGUCUGAGAGGAUGAUCCGCCACAUUGGAACUGAGACACGGUCCAGACUCCUACGGGAGGCAGCAGUGGGGAAUUUUGGACAAUGGGGGCAACCCUGAUCCAGCCAUGCCGCGUGAGUGAAGAAGGCCUUCGGGUUGUAAAGCUCUUUCAGCCGGGAAGAAAACGCAUGGGUUAAUACCCUGUGUGGAUGACGGUACCGGAAUAAGAAGCACCGGCUAACUACGUGCCAGCAGCCGCGGUAAUACGUAGGGUGCGAGCGUUAGUCGGAAUUACUGGGCGUAAAGCGUGCGCAGGCGGUUUUGUAAGACAGGCGUGAAAUCCCCGGGCUUAACCUGGGAACUGCGUUUGUGACUGCAAGGCUAGAGUACGGCAGAGGGGGGUGGAAUUCCACGUGUAGCAGUGAAAUGCGUAGAGAUGUGGAGGAACACCAAUGGCGAAGGCAGCCCCCUGGGUCGAUACUGACGCUCAUGCACGAAAGCGUGGGUAGCAAACAGGAUUAGAUACCCUGGUAGUCCACGCCCUAAACGAUGUCAACUAGGUGUUGGGAGGGUAAAACCUUUUAGUACCGUAGCUAACGCGAGAAGUUGACCGCCUGGGGAGUACGGCCGCAAGGUUAAAACUCAAAGGAAUUGACGGGGACCCGCACAAGCGGUGGAUGAUGUGGAUUAAUUCGAUGCAACGCGAAAAACCUUACCUACCCUUGACAUGUCAGGAGCUUGCCAGAGAUGGCUUGGUGCCCGAAAGGGAACCUGAACACAGGUGCUGCAUGGCUGUCGUCAGCUCGUGUCGUGAGAUGUUGGGUUAAGUCCCGCAACGAGCGCAACCCUUGUCGUUAAUUGCCAUCAUUUAGUUGGGCACUUUAACGAGACUGCCGGUGACAAACCGGAGGAAGGUGGGGAUGACGUCAAGUCCUCAUGGCCCUUAUGGGUAGGGCUUCACACGUCAUACAAUGGUCGGUACAAAGGGUCGCCAACCCGCGAGGGGGAGCCAAUCCCAGAAAGCCGAUCGUAGUCCGGAUUGCAGGCUGCAACUCGCCUGCAUGAAGUCGGAAUCGCUAGUAAUCGUGGAUCAGCAUGUCACGGUGAAUACGUUCCCGGGUCUUGUACACACCGCCCGUCACACCAUGGGAGCGGGUUCCGCCAGAAGUAGGUAGCCUAACCGCAAGGAGGGCGCUUACCACGGCGGGGUUCGUGACUGGGGUGAAGUCGUAACAAGGUAGCCGUAGGGGAACCUGCGGCUG
rnacentral:rRNA from 1 species